AAGAGACAGGAGUCCCUGGCUGCUCCCACGUUAAGCUGACUCCGCGUCUCGUCAUUCAUCCUCCUUCACAGCGUCAAGGAGGAACAAAGGAUCAAGUUGAGGUCUUGGAGCAAGGCCAGCCAGCUAAUACAACAGUCCCAGUGAGAAGUUUUAUCUGCUGAUAUCAGGCAAAGAAAAGAUUGGAACAUUGCCAUGGAAUAUAAGAGAAGAAGUGAGCCUGGAGA
rnacentral:lncRNA from 1 species